ACAUUAAUAGUCAUUGAAUGAUUUAAAAUUGCAAAUUUUAAGGUAAAAUAAAAUUUUUAUUGUU
rnacentral:tRNA from 1 species